rnacentral:misc_RNA from 1 species
UCUCCGUAGGUGAACCUGCGGAGGGAUCAUUACAGAGUUCAUACCCUAAUGGGUAGAUCUCCCACCCUAUGUUAUUAUUACUUUGUUGCUUUGGCGGGCCGUUAGGCUCCGGCCCGACUACCGGCCCCGGCUGGUAAGCGCCCGCCCGAGGCUCCAAAACCAUGAGUAUUAGUGUCGUCUGAGUACUAUAUAAUAGUUAAAACUUUCAACAACGGAACUCUUGGUUCUG